rnacentral:sRNA from 1 species
CGGCUUUCCUAAACUAUGCAAGUCGAGCGGGGUUUUCGAGCUGAGUCUUCGGACAAGGCUUGAAGACCUAGCGGCAAACGGGUGAGUAACACGUGAGCAACCUGCCCCGCUGUCUGGGAUAACAAGCCGAAAGGCCUGCUAAUACCGGAUACGAAGCCUCACCGCAUGUUGGGGCUUGGAAAGGGGAAACCCGCGGCGGGAUGGGCUCGCGUCCCAUCAGCUAGUUGGUGAGGUAACGGCCCACCAAGGCAACGACGGGUAGCUGGUCUGAGAGGACGAUCAGCCACACUGGAACUGAGACACGGUCCAGACUCCUACCGGAGGCAGCAAUGGG